GGAACAAUUUCCAGUAAGGAGUCAAUAACAAAUUAGGGCAGGAAUUUCUUCAGCAAACACUCCAACUACUGUUCUGCAAGAGGAGAGUCUAUCUCGUCACGUGAAGUAGCUUAAGAACUUUGAAACACCGAGUUAGCUCAGCUGCAUUGAAUAGAGACUGCAUCAGAGUAACUGGUUAUCUUUAAAUGGAAGCUCAAAAUACAGAUUAGAUUUAUCCCCUUUGUGAAAACCAGCUGUAGCAAAUACUUGGAAAAGCAGAUUCUGCAUCCAGGGGCGCUGAAGAUAAAUAUGUUCAACAUCAUACACUCAUAUACAGCAUGACUGGAGCUCCAAUAUGUAUUUCAGAUAAUUUCAGUGCAUGCAAAACCUUUUUCACCCUUAUUCAUUUCAUGAAUGACAGCAAUGAAUAUUGUAAUGUAUGAGAGACAAAGAACUUACGAACGAAUAGGCAGGAACAGAGAAAAUGAGAUGUGAACUGAAAGUCAGGAAGGAAUAUAUUGGAAUUGUCUGUAUUUUAGUGUUUAGAUUCACUCUGUGUGGGCAUUGCUUACAGAAAACCAGUCAUAGGAAAGGUCAGAAAAUGUCAGUGUCAGAUAGCAUGGGCCUGAUCUGAUAGGCUUUCAGAGAAAAAAAUACACUGUGUUCUGUGCUAAGGGUGAGGGCAGAAAAAUCCCUUACAUUUUCAGUAAAAACAUUCUGGAAUAAAUUUCUGUUCUGCAAGCCCAAAUCUGAGCUUUACUGAAGCAGACAUGAAAACUGUUUCCUGCAGCAUACUGGGACCUGGUGAUGUGGAUACUGACAAGGAAUCAAGAGUUUUCCUAAAGCUCUUUCUAAUGCUUACUACACACUGAUUACCAAACAUGUUUUUUCUCUACUAAUGCCUACUUUGUCUACACAAAUUCUGAAUGCUUGUUCAGCUGGGUAUUUGCAUACACUGGACAGCUUCUGUAGGGAGUUAAUUUAGCUAAUAAAACAUAAAGAAAUGAUCUAGAAUAAGGCUAAGGAAGCUUAGAGGCAAAACAACACAGAACUGCCACUGAGCAUGACAUUUUGUUCCUUUACCUACCUAAUUUCGGGUAUUCAGCUUAUCCCCGUGCUCAGCAUUGCACUCAUAAACAACCUGAAAUUGUGGCAAGCUAUUCAACAGUAAGAAAUAUUUUAAGUAAAAAUUAAGUUUGAUAAUCCAUCUGAUGUCUUCUCGGGAAUUAAUCUCUGGCUAAUCAUCAUCAGUGACAAAAAUGUUACAGUUUCUUUGUUACUGUUUCUGAAUAGUUUCACAUUUUUUUCUGGUUCCUUAUCUAGUUCUUCUGGAGUAUGAAGAAGAACAUAUGAAGAGGUUCUUGUAAACUUGCAAACCUUAUUUACAAGCCACCAGAUACUUUCACAUUUCUAGAUAUAUAUAUCUAUCUAUGAGGAGAUAUGCAUGUAUCUCCUAAUCUUUAAGGCUAUUCACUAAGGCUCAUCUUAGUAAACAUUAUCUUAACCCAAUUUGAAUCAUGAGAUGUGAGCAUUAGA